UUAAUGGAGAGUUUGAUCCUGGCUCAGGACGAACGCUGGCGGCGUGCUUAACACAUGCAAGUCGAACGGAGUUUAAGUUGAAACCUAGUGAUACUUAAACUUAGUGGCGGACGGGUGAGUAACGCGUGGAUAACCUGCCUGAUAGCCCGGGAUAACAGCUGGAAACGGCUGCUAAUACCGGAUACGCUAAUUGGAAUGCAUGUUCUAAUUAGGAAAGAUUAAUCACUAUCAGAUGGAUCCGCGUCCCAUUAGCUAGUUGGUGGUGUAACGGACCACCAAGGCGACGAUGGGUAGCCGGCCUGAGAGGGCGAACGGCCACACUGGGACUGAGACACGGCCCAGACUCCUACGGGAGGCAGCAG
rnacentral:rRNA from 1 species